rnacentral:sRNA from 1 species
UCUCAAGUAUCGAGGUGUUCCUGUUUAGACACCAUCCACCUUAGCUUUUGAGACGGGGUCUCUCGUUGGAACCUGGGACUCACUGAUUAGGACAUGCUAACCAGCCAGAAAGUCCCAGAGAUAACUGACCUGCCGCUGCCCUCCCAGCACUGAAGAUUACAACGGCAUACCAGCCCGCAGAUGAACACUCUUAGAAAAAGAAAAUCCUGUAAUAAAGCAGAAAAGUGCAGUGGAGGUUUAAGAAAAGGGUUGUGUGUAGGAAGAGGAAGAGACGCACAUGUAUGUGCAGGAGCAGUGCUGGGCAUCACCUGUUUCCAGCCACCACCGCAGAUGGGUUCCAUGCUGGUGUCCAAAGGGGUCGUUUCAUUCCCGUACUAAAGGCAAAGGCAGCGUCUUCUUUGCCUCGUGUCAGAAAAAGUAGGUCUGGAUCAUGAUUCUUCAGCACCAUAACUAGAAACAAUAUAUCCGAGUAGCUCCUUAUGAGGAGAUUUUGAUAAAAAACUCCCCUUUAUUCUUUCAUAAUCUCUAGGAGUUAAUGUGUGACAUAAACAUUUGGCCCUAUGCAAAUUUCUUAGAAGUAAAUAAAUUGAAGCUGCUCCUUUGCACUAGAUCAUUAUCAGUUUUAAUAACGGUUUUUAAAGUAGCUUGGUUUGAAGAGAGCUUUGUUUUUCUCCUCUCUUUCUCCCGUCUGUCAGGUUUUGUAACAAAGCCAUAAUAUGCUGUUCUGAGGUUAGUUACUGUGUUAAUUAAUGCACUGCUGUGCUAGCAAUGCUUAGAUGGCAUGAGUAAGUAAAGGGGUUUAGAUUAUGAAUAUUAAGCUACAAUAAGCAUUUUUAAAAGUAAACCAUCUAUGAUACAGAAUCAAUUUUAGAAUUAAUUCAUAUUUGUUAGUUGCAGGUAUAUUUUAAAGGAUUAAGC